rnacentral:misc_RNA from 1 species
UUUCUUCUUCUACUGGAGUUGAAGGUGAAAAAUCCCAUAUGAGGAACAAGGAGAGCAAAGGAUUCAAUGCAUUCUACCAUAAUGAUGCAGGACUAAGUGCAUUUAACAAUAAACGCUCUAGUGAAGGUGUCCUUGCCCCAAAUGGAAAAACACAAGCAAGUUGAAGGAAUCCUUUGACUCAGACUCAAGAAGUGCAAAUAUUUAUAGUGGAAGAAAUGGUGAAAGUCAGAGUUCAGAGCAGUCAGGUGUGAUUUUAGAUGUGUUAGUUAAUGAUAACAAGGUUAGAAAAGUUAAGCUAAAGGUCAGUGGUGUCGCUCCCACAAUUCAAGCCAACUCAAUAACUGAUGGUGCAUCUACUAAGAAGUUUCAAUUCUCAGAAACUUCCAGAUCUUGGCAGAAGAAGAAUUUUCAGGGGAAUUUAGAGGAAGACCAUUCCAU